AUUGGACGCUGGCGGCAUGCCUUACACAUGCAAGUCGAACGGCAGCGGACCUUCGGGUGCCGGCGAGUGGCGAACGGGUGAGUAAUAUAUCGGAACGUACCUUUCAGUGGGGGAUAACGUAGCGAAAGUUACGCUAAUACCGCAUAUUCUGUGAGCAGGAAAGCAGGGGAUCGCAAGACCUUGCGCUGAUUGAGCGGCCGAUAUCAGAUUAGCUAGUUGGUGAGGUAAAGGCUCACCAAGGCGACGAUCUGUAGCGGGUCUGAGAGGAUGAUCCGCCACACUGGAACUGAGACACGGUCCAGACUCCUACGGGAGGCAGCAGUGGGGAAUAUUGGACAAUGGGCGAAAGCCUGAUCCAGCAAUGCCGCGUGUGUGAAGAAGGCCUGCGGGUUGUAAAGCACUUUCAGUAGGGAAGAUUAUGACGGUACCUACAGAAGAAGCACCGGCUAACUCCGUGCCAGCAGCCGCGGUAAAGUG
rnacentral:rRNA from 1 species